GUCUACGGCCAUACCACCCUGAACGCGCCCGAUCUCAUCUGAUCUCGGAAGCUAAGCAGGGUCGGGCCUGGUUAGUACUUAGUACUUGGAUGGGAGUUUUUAAAUUUUCCUAAAGUAGAUGCAGACA
ensembl:rRNA 5S_rRNA 5S ribosomal RNA